UGCCAACUCCUACUGCUGAGCUAAAAUAUGGCUUUACUGUGGUUUUGGGCCAAUUACUAGUUGAUGGAGAUUGUUCAGCAGCAAUUAAGAUGAGAUUACACAUGCUUCUGCUUGGAUGCACAAGUUUUCUCCCAACAACCUGGAUUGGUCAUAUGAGACUUUGCUUCUUUGCUGUUACCAGUACUUUUGCUUGCUACUUAAACAUGGGAAUACAAGAAAAAUUGUUCAGAGCAGCAGCUGUGGAGCAAGAUAAACAGCAAGAGAACCAAGGACACCUCUAGAAGAAGAAAGAAUGGCUUGCAGCUCUGAUUGGAUAAACGCUCGCAUGAAUGUUUGAAGAGUGUUUGUAGAAUGCUCUGUUGACAUGUAAAGGAGGAUGGGAAAGCUAGAAAAAGAAAACUUGUGAAGAUAUAUAAUUGAUGUGAGAACUUGUAAUAAACGAUUUGGAUCAUUCACAUCUGAGCCCGUGCAUCAGAUGCUGCAUUAAAGAAAGAGAAUAAUUGCCUGUACUGAUAUUUCAAUUUUUAACUUCCAAAGGAGGAAGAUGGAGUAAAAUAAGGCUCUCAAAGAAUGGCUUGAUGUCCAGGUGGAAACUCAUAAUGAAAGAUAUUCCUCGCUGUUCAGUACUGGAACCAGCACCAUUUAUCAUCCUUACCAGUGACAUGGACACUGGGAUUGAAUGCACCCUCAACAUUUUGUGGAUGACACCAAAAUGUGUGUGCAGCUGACACAGUGGAGAAAGGAAUGCCAUCCAGAGAGACCGUGACAGGCUUGAGAUGGGCCCAUGUAAACCUCAUGAAGUUCAAUAAUGACAAGUUCAAGGACCUGCAGCUGAGUUAGGGCAAUCCCAAACAUGAUUACAGGAUAUGUGAUGAGUGAAUAGAAAACAGCUGUUUGGAGAAGAACUUGGGGGUACUAGUGACAAAAGCGCGAAUCUGAACCAGCAAUGUGUGUUUGUAGAGUAGAAAGACAACUGUAUCCUGGGCUAUAUUAAAAUAAUAUUGAAGCAGCUUCAUUUGCUCUGCUCUCCCCCUACUUUUGUGAGACCCUGCCUGUAGCAUUGUGUUGAGCUGUGGGGCCACCAGCAAAAGAGUGACAUGCGCCUGUUAAAGUGGGUCCAGACCUACAGAACUGAUGGGGAGGGACUCUUAUCAGAGAAUGUUGUGUCAGAUUUUAAAAUAAAAGAGGGUAGUUUUAGAUCAGAUGUUAGGAGGAAAUUCUUUACUACACGUGUGGUGAGACACUGGAACCUGUUGCCCAGAGAAGUUGUGGAUGCCCUAUCCCUGGAAGUGUUCAAGGCAAGACUGGAUGAGGCUUUCAGGAACCUGAUUUAGAAGGAGGUGUCCAUGUCCAUAGCAGGAGGUGGGUGGAACUUAAAGAUCUUUCAGGUCCCUUCCAAUCCAAACUAUACUUCUAUUCUAUGAAAAUCAUUUCAAGCCUUUCAGAGGUGAUGUCUACUAGUUCUUUAACCAGCAGAAUCAAGUUUUGGUGUAGGAAUUAAAGAAUGGCAGGAUUUUAGACAGCAUAAAAAACCUGAGAAUUUCCUUAUUCAGUGAUUGUUCUUCUUUUAGUAGGCAACCUACCUUUGAAGAAGAC
rnacentral:lncRNA from 1 species